rnacentral:rRNA from 1 species
GACGAACGCUGGCGGCGUGCUUAACACAUGCAAGUCGAACGGAAAGGCCCUGCUUUUGUGGGGUGCUCGAGUGGCGAACAGGUGUGUAAAACGUGAGUAACCUGCCCUUGACAUUGGGAUAUCUUCAGGAGAAAGGGGCUAAUACCGCGUAGGCGCUCCUGCUGCAUGGUGGGUGUGGGAGGAUUGCGGCGGUUGGGGAUGUGCUCGCGGCUUAUCAGCUUGUUGGGGGGGUAGGGGCUUACCAAGGCUUUGACGGGUAGCCGGCCUGAGAGGGUGACCGGCCACAUUGGGACUGAGAUACGGCCCAGACUCCUACGGGAGGCAGCAGUGGGGAAUAUUGCACAAUGGGCGGAAGCCUGAUGCAGCAACGCCGCGUGCGGGAUGACGGCCUUCGGGUUGUAAACCGCUUUCGCCUGUGACGAAGCGUGAGUGACGGUAAUGGGUAAAGAAGCACCGGCUAACUACGUG